rnacentral:rRNA from 1 species
UGAACGCUGGCGGAAUGCUUUACACAUGCAAGUCGAACGGCAGCACGGGAGCGUGCUCCGGGUGGCGAGUGACGAACGGGCGAGUAAUGCGUCGGAACGUACCGAGUAAUGAGGCCCAACGCAGCGAAAGCUGUGCUAAUACCGCAUACGCCCUGAGGGGGAAAGUGGGGGAUCGCAAGACCUCACGUUAUUCGAGCGGCCGACGUCUGAUUAGCUAGUUGGUGGGGUAAAGGCCUACCAAGGCGACGAUCAGUAGCGGGUCUGAGAGGAUGAUCCGCCACACUGGAACUGAGACACGGUCCAGACUCCUACGGGAGGCAGCAGUGGGGAAUUUUGGACAAUGGGGGCAACCCUGAUCCAGCCAUUCCGCGUGAGUGAAGAAGGCCUUCGGGUUGUAAAGCU